CGGUCCAGACUCCUACGGGAGGCAGCAGUGGGGAAUAUUGCACAAUGGGCGCAAGCCUGAUGCAGCCAUGCCGCGUGUGUGAAGAAGGCCUUCGGGUUGUAAAGCACUUUCAGCGGGGAGGAAGGCGAUAAGGUUAAUAACCUUGUCGAUUGACGUUACCCGCAGAAGAAGCACCGGCUAACUCCGUGCCAGCAGCCGCGGUAAUACGGAGGGUGCAAGCGUUAAUCGGAAUUACUGGGCGUAAAGCGCACGCAGGCGGUCUGUCAAGUCGGAUGUGAAAUCCCCGGGCUCAACCUGGGAACUGCAUUCGAAACUGGCAGGCUAGAGUCUUGUAGAGGGGGGUAGAAUUCCAGGUGUAGCGGUGAAAUGCGUAGAGAUCUGGAGGAAUACCGGUGGCGAAGGCGGCCCCCUGGACAAA
rnacentral:rRNA from 1 species